GGCUCUUUGAUUAAUUAGCAUAAAGAGUCGGACCUGCCCAGUGAAACAUAUCUUCAACGGCCGCGGUACUUUGACCGUGCAAAGGUAGCAUAAUCAUUUGCCCUAUAAUUGGGGGCUAGUAUGAAUGGUUUGACAAGAGCAAUUCUGUCUCUAUACAAUUCUAUAAAAUUUAAUUUUCAGCUGAAGAAGUCUGAAUUUAAUUAAAAGACAAGAAGACCCUAUCGAGCUUUAAAAAAAUUAAAAGAUUAGCAAUUAUAUUUUAUAAAAUAAUAACUUUUAAAAAUUUUAGUUGGGGCGACUAAGGAACAAAUAAAGCUUCUUUUUAAUAAAAAAUAAACAUAUAAUGAUCCAAAAAUUUUGAUUAAAGAAAUUAGUUACCGUAGGGAUAACAGCAUAAUCUUUUUUAAGAGUUCUUAUCGAAAAAUCUUCUUGUGACCUCGAUGUUGGACCAGAAUAUCCUAAAGAUGCAACCG
rnacentral:rRNA from 1 species